rnacentral:rRNA from 2 species
AAACGACUCUCGGCAACGGAUAUCUCGGCUCACGCAUCGAUGAAGAACGUAGCAAAAUGCGAUACUUGGUGUGAAUUGCAGAAUCCCGUGAACCAUCGAGUUUUUGAACGCAAGUUGCGCCCAAAGCCAUCAGGUUGAGGGCACGUCUGCCUGGGCGUCACGCA